UUCCGGUUGAUCCUGCCGGACCCGACUGCUAUCAGAGUGGGACUAAGCCAUGCGAGUCGACGCAGCAAUGCGUGGCGAACGGCUCAGUAACACGUAGUCAACAUGCCCAGGGGACGUGGACAACCUCGGGAAGCUGAGAAUAAACCACGAUAGGUCAUGAUUUCUGGAAUGGAUCAUGGCCCAAAUCUACAUGGCCCCUGGAUUGGGCUGCGGCCGAUCAGGCAGUUGGUGAGGUAAAGGCCCACCAAACCUAUAACCGGUACGGGCUCUGAGAGGAGAAGCCCGGAGAUGGGCACUGAGACAAGGGCCCAGGCCCUAUGGGGCGCAGCAGGCGCGAAACCUCUGCAAUAGGCGAAAGCCUGACAGGGUUACUCUGAGUGAUUUCCGCUAAGGGGAUCUUUUGGCACCUCUAAAAAUGGUGCAGAAUAAGGGGUGGGCAAGUCUGGUGUCAGCCGCCGCGGUAAUACCAGCACCCCGAGUGGUCGGGACGAUUAUUGGGCCUAAAGCAUCCGCAGCCGGUUCUGCAAGUCUUCCGUUAAAUCCAGCCGCUCAACGGAUGGGCCGCGGAGGACACUACAGGACUAGGAGGCGGGAGAGGCAAGCGGUACUCAGUGGGUAGGGGUAAAAUCCUUUGAUCCGUUGAAGACCACCAGUGGCGAAGGCGGCUUGCCAGAACGCGCUCGACGGUGAGGGAUGAAAGCUGGGGGAGCAAACCGGAUUAGAUACCCGGGUAGUCCCAG
rnacentral:rRNA from 1 species